rnacentral:rRNA from 1 species
GUGGGGAAUAUUGGACAAUGGGCGAAAGCCUGAUCCAGCCAUGCCGCGUGUGUGAAGAAGGUCUUCGGAUUGUAAAGCACUUUAAGUUGGGAGGAAGGGCAGUAAGUUAAUACCUUGCUGUUUUGACGUUACCGACAGAAUAAGCACCGGCUAACUUCGUGCCAGCAGCCGCGGUAAUACGAAGGGUGCAAGCGUUAAUCGGAAUUACAGGGCGUAAAGCGCGCGUAGGUGGUUUUGUAAGUUGGAGGUGAAAUCCCCGGGCUCAACCUGGGAACUGCCUCCAAAACUGCAUGACUAGAGUACGGUAGAGGGUAGUGGAAUUUCCUGUGUAGCGGUGAAAUGCGUAGAUAUAGGAAGGAACACCAGUGGCGAAGGCGACUACCUGGACUGAUACUGACACUGAGGUGCGAAAGCGUGGGGAGCAAACAGGAUUAGAAACCCGAGUAGUCC